UUGCAGAAGCAAUCCCAACAGAAAAACUCAAGAUUAUCACCAUUUUUAACGACCUCCACAAUAUUGAGCCACAAAUUAGAACUUUUGACAUGAUUUUAUUCCAUAGACAAAAAUGAACUAAUCCAAAAUAUUUCAAUGAACUCGUGUGAAACACAACAGAAGACGGAAAGGAGAUGAACAAAUUUCAAUUAUUUCAACAACAAAAGUAUAGUUUUACAGACACGUACCUAAAUUUGAAAGCAACAAAUCGAUUGAACCUAACAAAGGUCGGGUAAGCACAAAUGGAGCUCAAUCAUAGCCCAAUGACAAUCAGCAAUUAACAGUAGCAAGCAAGCCCCGAACCAGAGUAAGAAAAAUUUGAAACCUCAAUAAAUCAAUGUUCUCUUGAAUUUUAAACUGAGAACAGGGUCCAUGAACGGAGACCUUGCCGACAACCAAGCGCCGGAAAAUUUCGAAUCGAACCCAAAUACCUCGGCUACUCCAUUUCGAUUUCUUCUUAGAAAUGACUAUACCAAACAAGAUUUUUUUUUUGCUCUAAAACUCCCUCUAUUUUUGCUCUUUAUCCUCUCUUCUUUUUUCUUAAUUUUUGGCCGUGUGUGGUCCUUGAGAGGUUGGGGUAUGGCUAAUUUUGAAGAUGUCAAGCAAAAGGGAUGUCUGGUGGUGUGAGGUGAAGAAGAAGAGCGGCCGAUGGGGGUGUGUUCUUCCGGCGGCUUGGAGAUUUUUUAGAGGAGGGCGUGUGGCUCCUAUGGUUUUUCUAGGUGCUGAAAGGUGUUUGAUCUCUUAGAGGGGAAGUGGAAUGAGGGACGAUUCUGCUAGGUCUAGGGCCCUUAGGUCUGCCGCUGGCUUCUUUCCAAAAU
rnacentral:lncRNA from 1 species